rnacentral:lncRNA from 1 species
AUAUUUAACAUGUUUACAGAUAAUCAAGGUAAUUCUAUAUACGUCUCACCCUGAAGUGACGAGCCGAAACAUUUUCUUGUCCAAUACACUAUAAAACUGAAUACGAAACAUUUUUCUUGAUGUCUAAGUACAUCAAGCCUGCCAUGAUAGUUCAAAUAAAUUACGCAGCAAAAGAAGCUUUCAUACAGUCUACAUUACUCGAUUUGCAUGAUUGAUGGUAAGGCACAACUACUGAUUCGACUAAACAAAUUGUUCAUCAAGCUUCUAUGAUAGUCCAGGAUCAGAUUCAGGAAUAGGAGUUCAACAUGCCCAAAACCAACAUGUAGCUAUGGGAUAUUUGAUAGAAAAUGGAGUCACCCACCAAUUAUAAACAAAUUCAGCUCUCAAAAGGAUACUAUCAGCAACCAACAGAAUACAAUGCACUAUAUGAUUCCAAAAUAAGGCAAUUAUAACAAAAUAAAGCUAAAUCUAUGAGCAAACAAUGGUGACAUUAUGCUCAAAUUCCAGAUUUUCAUUUCAUCUUUGAAUCAGGCCUCACAUUAGAUAGAACUCAGAGAUCAUGUACCUGGGAAUAAGGGGAAAGCAAAAAGGAGAAAAGAUCAGUAGGCAGCAGCAACAGAACAAAAUCUCAAACUCAGCAGCAGUAGUAAGCUCAAAAAUGACCAAUGAAACCAGCCUUGGACCCAACUUUAAAACAGUAGAAAUAACCACUGAUACCCAUCGAUCAAAAACGAACAGCCAAAAUUUGAACCAAACUUUUGAAAACCAACCAAGCUCAAACCAUUUUAUCCCUCGAUUGUUCAGAGAUCAUUUCAGAAGUGAGGCCUCAAGAAUUAUAGAAAGACUUUCAAUGGAACAGUGGUUUUUGUUUUUUCCAUUUGUUCUGAUUUCUCCUAUAUUUUCAGCCUUUUUGGUCUCUCUAAGGUGUAAAACAAAAUUGUCUUGAAUGAGAAGAAGGCUUCCUUUUAAAGGCUGAGGGUCUGCUGUGUGCCUUCCAAGGCAAGACAGUUAGAUUUUUCCCAAAAUAUCCUCAUAGGGCCUCUUUUAAAACUGAUUUUUGGACAGCUGUCCAUUUCCUUCAGAUAUUUUCAAUUUACAGCCUAUUUUCCCUAACCAUUUUGGGCAGCUAUCCAUUUAGGAAGCUUCCCAUCAAUUAUUAAAGAUUCUUCAAGUUGAAACAAUCUCCAAAAUCACCCCCUAAAGUUCCUCAUUAUUCACUUACCCCCCUUAAAUUCUGAAUGCUCAAAAUCACAAUAACAGUAAACAAACGGGCUGACACUUUCAAACAAAUUGAAAUUCAAAAUAACUAUUGAAAUUAUGAGAAAACUAGCUUGAAUAUCCUUCACCCAUAAACGUGAAUUCAGAAAAUGUUCUUGAAACAAGAAUUAAUGCGAACAAUGAACUAUACUUGACUAAUCUUAAUGCUUCAGUUCCAAAAUUAAUUCACAAAUGUGAAAUAAAACCUAGCGUAAAGAAGAAAAUCUCAUGAAUUGAAACCAAAUUAAAAUCAAACCUUAUGAAGCUAAUUGUCAUUGACAAUUACGCGAACAAGCUAACUAACAAACUUACAACUAGAACAUAAUACAAUUAAGCAAGAAACGAAAAUUUUGAAGGACGAAAACUGGAAAAACAAACAACCAAGCAAACAAACAGAAGAGAUCAAAAGGAAACCUAUCGACGUAAAGGAAAUUCUCCUAAACUUGCGUUGGCAAGAACUGCAUGAACUCGAACAACCUUGGAGAAGAAAGUGAACCUUUGACGGUCAUUAAUCGGUUGUCCUUAACAAAAGACAAAUGAUUAAUGGUGGUUUUGGGUUCACUUGACCUUGCUAAGCCAGAAAGGAACCCAGGGAGAGACUUGGUUAUCCGGCCCUCUGCUCUACCACUGACAUGCCAUUUUGAAAUGAAACAAACACGUAUUUGAGGCAGGAAGGAGAUGAGGGGUUGCAUUGUGUGAUUUUGGGUGGAUCUGGGAAUUUUUAGGGUUUCAGGCGCUAACCUCAGAUCUGAGAUUCGAGGCGAUGGAGUGGGAUUUGAGAGGAACUAUUUGGAGAUUUGGGAUGGGGAGGUGGAAGGGAGUUCAUGACGUUAAUUCGGUGGCGAUUGGAUGUCGGCGCCGGACGGUGGGGAAUUUUGGGGCGGCUACUAGGGUUUUGGGGGCAAGUUUCUGAAGUUGG